GUGGAUCAGUGGCGAACGGGUGAGUAACACGUGAGCAACCUGCCCUGGACUCUGGGAUAAGCGCUGGAAACGGCGUCUAAUACUGGAUAUGAGACGUGAUCGCAUGGUCGUGUUUGGAAAGAUUUUUCGGUCUGGGAUGGGCUCGCGGCCUAUCAGCUUGUUGGUGAGGUAAUGGCUCACCAAGGCGUCGACGGGUAGCCGGCCUGAGAGGGUGACCGGCCACACUGGGACUGAGACACGGCCCAGACUCCUACGGGAGGCAGCAGUGGGGAAUAUUGCACAAUGGGCGGAAGCCUGAUGCAGCAACGCCGCGUGAGGGAUGACGGCCUUCGGGUUGUAAACCUCUUUUAGCAGGGAAGAAGCGAAAGUGACGGUACCUGCAGAAAAAGCGCCGGCUAACUACGUGCCAGCAGCCGCGGUAAUACGUAGGGCGCAAGCGUUAUCCGGAAUUAUUGGGCGUAAAGAGCUCGUAGGCGGUUUGUCGCGUCUGCUGUGAAAUCCCGAGGCUCAACCUCGGGCCUGCAGUGGGUACGGGCAGACUAGAGUGCGGUAGGGGAGAUUGGAAUUCCUGGUGUAGCGGUGGAAUGCGCAGAUAUCAGGAGGAACACCGAUGGCGAAGGCAGAUCUCUGGGCCGUAACUGACGCUGAGGAGCGAAAGGGUGGGGAGCAAACAGGCUUAGAUACCCUGGUAGUCCACCCCGUAAACGUUGGGAACUAGUUGUGGGGACCAUUCCACGGUUUCCGUGACGCAGCUAACGCAUUAAGUUCCCCGCCUGGGGAGUACGGCCGCAAGGCUAAAACUCAAAGGAAUUGACGGGGACCCGCACAAGCGGCGGAGCAUGCGGAUUAAUUCGAUGCAACGCGAAGAACCUUACCAAGGCUUGACAUAUACGAGAACGGGCCAGAAAUGGUCAACUCUUUGGACACUCGUAAACAGGUGGUGCAUGGUUGUCGUCAGCUCCUGUCCUGAAAAGUUUGGGUUAAGUCCCGCAACGAGCGCAACCCUCGUUCUAUGUUGCCAGCACGUAAUGGUGGGAACUCAUGGGAUACUGCCGGGGUCAACUCGGAGGAAGGUGGGGAUGACGUCAAAUCAUCAUGCCCCUUAUGUCUUGGGCUUCACGCAUGCUACAAUGGCCGGUACAAAGGGCUGCAAUACCGUAAGGUGGAGCGAAUCCCAAAAAGCCGGUCCCAGUUCGGAUUGAGGUCUGCAACUCGACCUCAUGAAGUCGGAGUCGCUAGUAAUCGCAGAUCAGCAACGCUGCGGUGAAUACGUUCCCGGGUCUUGUACACACCGCCCGUCAAGUCAUGAAAGUCGGUAACACCUGAAGCCGGUG
rnacentral:rRNA from 1 species